rnacentral:lncRNA from 1 species
CUGACCCCUGUGGACUGAUCCGCAGGACCCUUGCUCUGGGCCUUCUGGCUGGUUUUAGCUGCACUGAAGCAUGGGAAGAGAAUGAAGGUAGAGGACCUGUUCCCUCUUCCUUGGAUCUCCGUCAGGCUGGCUGCGUCCCUUUACAAAAGGGGCUUCUGACUAUGGGUCCUCCCCGCCUGCUCUCCUUCUGGCUUCAGCUUUAGGUUUAUGAUUGGUCUUGACAGAAAGAGAAUGCAGCAGAGAAGGUGCUCAACAGAGGGCUUGGUCACGAGGACCUAAGACCAUCAAGUUUUAGUCUUUGUUCAUCUAAAUGCAGGGCAUUGCU